UGGUGCAUGUUUUAUAAACCCAGACAC
rnacentral:piRNA from 1 species